UCAUUCUUGUUACUGGCCUGCUACCUGCCUAAUCACGAAAAAGAAGAAGAAAUGAGUCAUUUUCAGGAUAAUGUGGUCUCACAGAGACAUGGAUUCUCCUUGAUCGGGGGUCAAGUCUCCUGGAUUGCAUCAUCUGAAUCAUCCAGUGCCUAAGAGCACUUACAUCUCUGGGACCUGAACCUCUCUUCUGGACACUAUAGGUGCAACAUAGGUGGUAAAAACAGACACCCAUGGGAAGGAUAAAUUUGGGGUCACAAAUUUGUGUCCUCUUGUGUGUUGGUGUCCUUAUUCUUCUACUGGAGUUUCUACCUGACUAUAGAAGGCAGCUUCUUCAUCUUCCAUAUCCCCACUGCUAUGAGUAUCAGUGUGUUGAGGAUUAUGUGACAAGAAGAAUUUAUGUGAAGAGAGGGAGGAUGCUACAGAAGUGUGCCAGCUGCCUGCGUGUCUGGUGAGACAUGCUGAUCCUGGGAGCAUGAAGAUUCAGCUCUCCUGGUUCGGGACCGUGGAGUCAUUCCUGUGCCCUUGAAAGAAGAUGGAGACUUUUUAGGAUUUACCCUCACCGAGCACAGGAAGAUAACAUUCAAGGGAUGCCUCAGCUUGAGCAGAUACCAGUUAUCUCCUGAGUCAACACCCGGUGUCUCCACCGCAUGACCUCAUCGUCUACCGCCUGACCUCUUUGCCUCCUGCUAUCACUGACUAUAUCCUCAUCCCUCCAUCCUUUGUGUUUCACAAAGGACACUCCCCCUACCUGAAAGCCUUAAAAGCUGGAACGUUCACCCCAAUAAAUGAGACCUUGACAAUAGAAUCUUGCUUGGUCUCCUUCUCCUCUCGCCCCCCAUAGGCCUAUGAGUAAGCAUACAUAUAAGACUACAACCAGCUGAGUCAUUUGUUGAUGUUGUUGCUGUUGUUAUUGUUGUUAUUGAUUGUGUGUAUAUAAUUUCAGGUGUGAUCACAAUGCAUUAAAUUGCCAAUUAG
rnacentral:lncRNA from 1 species